GAACUCAUCAGCGGAGAAAUCAUGGAACUGUGUCACGUGAUAGCUGAUCUCGGACGGAAAAACGCAGACGGGUCGUUUUGUAUUUCUUUCGGACAAUUAUUCGAGGCAUAUACGACGAUAUCUAAUAAACUGGUGGGCAUGUUGAUGCGAGCACGGAAGCAAAAACUGCUGACUUUUCCUGGCGAAAUGUUAUUUCAGAGAAGAGACGACGACGUAAUAAUUACAUUAUUUAAAAUUCCUUCCACUCAGUGAUUUGUUCGAAAUUACAUCUACAUGUAUUUAUAUUUUAUAUGUUAGAAAAUAUGUCGUAUGAAAAAUGUCGAAUAAAAUUUCACCGAACAAAAUAUAAGAAAACUUCAAAAAUAAACUUCAUAUACAAUG
rnacentral:misc_RNA from 1 species